rnacentral:rRNA from 1 species
ACUCAAAUGAAUUGACGGGGACCCGCACAAGCGGUGGAGCAUGUGGAUCAAUUCGAUACUAACCGAAGAACCUUACCCAGGUUUGACAUCGAGGGAAAUCCAGCGAAAUCUGGCCCUCGGCCCAAAAGGCCGACCCGAAGACACUUGUUGCAUGGCUGUCGUCAGCUCGUGCCGUGAGGUGUACGGUUAAGUCCGCCAACGAGCGCAACCCUCGUCCUAUGUUGCCAGCAUGAAAGAUGGGAACUCAUAGGAGACCGCCGGCGUCAAGUCGGAGGAAGGUGGGGAUGAUGUCAAGUCAGCAUGGCAGUUACACCUGGGGCUUCACACAUGCUACAAUGGGCGAAACAAAGGGCAGCAAUAUCGUGAGAUGGAGCUAAUCCCAAAAAUACGCCCCCAGUUCAGAUUGCAGUCUGCAACUCGACUGCAUGAAGGCGGAAUCGCUAGUAAACGCAGGUCAGCUAUACUGCGUUGAAUACGUUCCCGGGUCUUGUACACACCGCCCGU